rnacentral:rRNA from 1 species
AGUGAACGCUGGCGGUAGGCCUAACACAUGCAAGUCGAACGGCAGCACAGUAAGAGCUUGCUCUUACGGGUGGCGAGUGGCGGACGGGUGAGGAAUACAUCGGAAUCUACUUUUUCGUGGGGGAUAACGUAGGGAAACUUACGCUAAUACCGCAUACGACCUACGGGUGAAAGCAGGGGAUCUUCGGACCUUGCGCGAUUGAAUGAGCCGAUGUCGGAUUAGCUAGUUGGCGGGGUAAAGGCCCACCAAGGCGACGAUCCGUAGCUGGUCUGAGAGGAUGAACAGCCACACUGGAACUGAGACACGGUCCAGACUCCUAAGGGAGGCAGCAGGGGGGAAUAUUGGACAAUGGGCGCAAGCCUGAUCCAGCCAUACCGCGUGGGUGAAGAAGGCCUUCGGGUUGUAAAGCCCUUUUGUUGGGAAAGAAAAGCAGCAGGUUAAUACCCCGCUGUUCUGACGGUACCCAAAGAAUAAGCACCGGCUAACUUCGUG